AACCACAACGAUGUAAAUCUCCAACAAUAUCCUGGCAUUAAGCCUAAACAACAAAAGUCAACCAACAAAGGGCCACAUCAUCAAGUUCCAAAAUUUGAUACAUAGGAGGAAAACAACAAUAAAAUAAUAUAAAUAUUCCCAUCCCACGUAUCAGAGCCCUAGACACGACAAUGAGCCACCACCAACUACUCAGGAUCACCUGCAAGUUACCCAUAGGAAGGGCAACGUUUUCAAGCAGAAGGGGUGAGAUUCACAACAAUAAAUAUAGAUAUUAAAAUCAUCAAUUGAAUCUAACACCCUAA
rnacentral:lncRNA from 1 species